GAUGAACGCUAGCGGCAGGCCUAAUACAUGCAAGUCGAGGGGCAGCGCGGUAGCAAUACUGGCGGCGACCGGCGCACGGGUGCGUAACACGUAUGCAACCUACCUUCAACUGGAGGAUAGCCCGGGGAAACUCGGAUUAAUACUCCAUAACACAGGGAUCCCGCAUGGGAAUAUUGUUAAAGCUACGGCGGUUGAAGAUGGGCAUGCGUUCGAUUAGCUAGUUGGUGUAGGUAACGGCUCACCAAGGCUACGAUCGAUAGGGGGUCUGAGAGGAUGAUCCCCCACACUGGUACUGAGAUACGGACCAGACUCCUACGGGAGCAGCAGUAGGGAAUAUUGGUCAAUGGGCGCAAGCCUGAACCAGCCAUGCCGCGUGCAGGAAGAAGGCCCUCUGGGUUGUAAACUGCUUUUGAUAGGGAACAAAUGCCACUUGCGAGUGGAGCUGAGUGUACCUAUAGAAUAAGCACCGGGCUAAACUCCGUGCCAGCAGCCGCGG
rnacentral:rRNA from 1 species